GAUGAACGCUGGCUGCGUGCCUAAUACAUGCAAGUCGAGCGAACAGAUAAGGAGCUUGCUCCUUUGACGUUAGCGGCGGACGGGUGAGUAACACGUGGGUAACCUACCUAUAAGACUGGGAUAACUUCGGGAAACCGGAGCUAAUACCGGAUAAUAUUUCGAACCGCAUGGUUCGAUAGUGAAAGAUGGUUUUGCUAUCACUUAUAGAUGGACCCGCGCCGUAUUAGCUAGUUGGUAAGGUAACGGCUUACCAAGGCGACGAUACGUAGCCGACCUGAGAGGGUGAUCGGCCACACUGGAACUGAGACACGGUCCAGACUCCUACGGGAGGCAGCAGUAGGGAAUCUUCCGCAAUGGGCGAAAGCCUGACGGAGCAACGCCGCGUGAGUGAUGAAGGUCAUCGGAUCGUAAAACUCUGUUAUUAGGGAAGAACAUACGUGUAAGUAACUGUGCACGUCUUGACGGUACCUAAUCAGAAAGCCACGGCUAACUACGUG
rnacentral:rRNA from 1 species